rnacentral:rRNA from 1 species
CUGAAUAGGGCGCAUAAGUAACAGGUCGUAGACCCGAAACCAGGUGAUCUACCCAUGUCCAGGAUGAAGGUAAGGUAAUACUUACUGGAGGUCCGAACCCACGCACGUUGAAAAGUGCGGGGAUGAGGUGUGGGUAGCGGAGAAAUUCCAAUCGAACUUGGAGAUAGCUGGUUCUCUCCGAAAUAGCUUUAGGGCUAGCCUCGAGGUAAAGAGUCAUGGAGGUAGAGCACUGUUUGGACUAGGGGCCCUUCUCGGGUUACCGAAUUCAGAUAAACUCCGAAUGCCAUGUACUUAUACUCGGGAGUCAGACUGCGAGUGAUAAGAUCCGUAGUCGAAAGGGAAACAGCCCAGACCACCAGUUAAGGUCCCCAAAUAUAUGUUAAGUGGAAAAGGAUGUGGGGUUGCUUAGACAACCAGGAUGUUGGCUUAGAAGCAGCCACCAUUGAAAGAGUGCGUAAUAGCUCACUGGUCGAGUGACCCCGCGCCGAAAAUGUACCGGGGCUAAACAUAUUA